ensembl:lncRNA
CUCUUGCACAGUUUGUAUUUUUUAUUGUUGAGUAUUGGAAAUUCUAUAUUUAUAUUGAAUACAAGUUCUUCUUUUUGAGUUCAUAAUAGUUUACAUCAUUGUGAAAUUUCAGUUGUACAUAUUUCUUGUCACUACGCAAGUGCUCCCCUUCACCCCCUGUGCCCACCCCCCACUCCCCUUCCCCUGGUAACCACUGAACUGUUUUCUUUGUCCAUGUGUUUGUUUGUAUUCCACAUAUGAGUGAAAUCAUAUGGUGUUUGUCUUUCUCAGUCUGGCUUAUUUCGCUUAGCAUAAUUCCCUCCAGAUCCAUCCACGUUGUUGCAAAAGGGAGAAUUUUGUCUUUUUUUAUGGUUGAAUGGUAUUCCAUUGUAUAUAUAUGCCACAUCUUCUUUAUCCAAUCAUCAGUCGAUGGACACUUGGAAUGUUUCCAUGUCUUGCCUAUUGUGAAUAAUGCUGCAAUGAACAUAGGGGUGCAUAUGUUACUUUGGAUUGUUGAUUUCAAUUUGUUUGGGUAGAUACCCAGUAGUGGGAUAGCUGGGUCAUAAGGUAUAUCUGUUUAGUUUUUUGAGGAAUCUCCAUACUGUUUUCCAUAGUGGCUGCACUAGUUUGCAUUCCCACCAAGCAUACAAGUUCUUUACCAGAUGCAGUUGACCUUCCGGAUCCACAUAUACUAUGUUUGUAAUCCGUGGUUGGUUGAAUCUUCGGAUGGAGUCGACUAAAGGACUAGAGCGUCCGUGGAUUUUGGUAUCUGCAGGGGCGUCCUGGAACCAAUCCUCCACGGGUGGGCUUCCUCAUGGUCUCACAAUGACUGCUACAGUUCCAGGUGGCACAUGAAGAAAGCAACAUCCAGAAGUACAAAGUGGACCUUCUUUUCUCUGCGUUUAUUUUAAAGAUCAAGGAAAACUUUUCUAGAAGGCUCUUGUAUCAGUUAGAGUCCUGGUAUAAAACAGAAUGCACAAAGUGACAGAUUAUAUUUUCCAAAGACGUCUGCAGCAACCUCUCCUAUCCCAAUUUGCUUUUCUACCAUGUGACCCUGCAACUCCUCUAUUAAGAGGUGGAGUCAAAUUAUCCUCCCCUCGAAUAUGAGUAGGCUUGUGAGUAUAUCAAUCAUUAGAGUAUAGCAGAAAUAAUGCUGUGUGACUUUUGAGGCUGUCAUAUAAAAUGAUGCAGCUUCUGCCUGAUUCACUGUAACACUCACGCUUGCAGCCCUGAGCCACCAUGUAAGAACUCCAACUGAGACAACCAUGCCAUAGAGACCAAAUGAACUCUGGUCAACAGCUCAACUGAGCAAGCAUCAACUGUCAGGCAUGUUGAUUGAGCCAUCUUAAAUAUCCUGCACAGUUAAGCCUUCAGAUGACUGCAGCCCCAGUUGACAUUUAACUACAACCAAGAGACCCAAAGAAAACAUUAUUCAGCUGAGCCCUUUCCAAAUUCCCGACCCAAAAGUUGUGAGAAAAAUAAAGUGGUUGUUUUAAGCCACUAUGUUUUUGGGUAAUUUGUUACACAUCUCUAUUAAUUGGAACUCAUACUCAAACAAGAUAGCUAAGGAGAGUUUAAUGAAGAGAGCAUGGACAAG